rnacentral:rRNA from 1 species
UACGUAGGGGGCAAGCGUUGUCCGGAUUUAUUGGGCGUAAAGAGCGUGUAGGCGGCUUUGCAAGUCCGUUGUGAAAACUCGAGGCUCAACCUCGAGACGCCGGUGGAAACUGCAAAGCUAGAGUCCGGAAGAGGAGAGUGGAAUUCCUGGUGUAGCGGUGAAAUGCGCAGACAUCAGGAAGAACACCCGUGGCGAAGGCGGCUCUCUGGGACGGUACUGACGCUGAGACGCGAAAGCGUGGGGAGCGAACAGG